AGUUCAACGGCCGCGGUAUUCUGACCGUGCAAAGGUAGCAUAAUCACUUGUUCUCCAAAUAAGGACUUGUAUGAAUGGCCACACGAGGGUUUUACUGUCUCUUACUUCCAAUCAGUGAAAUUGACCUUCCCGUGAAGAGGCGGGAAUAAAAAAAUAAGACGAGAAGACCCUAUGGAGCUUUAAUUAACUAUUCCAAAAGUUAAACAAUUCAACCACAAAGGGAUAAAACAUAACUUAACAUGGACUAGCAAUUUCGGUUGGGGUGACCUCGGAGUACAAAAAACCCUCCGAGUGAUUUUAAUCUAGACAAACCAGUCAAAAUAACCAUAACAUCACUUAUUGAUCCAAAACUUUGAUCAACGGAACAAGUUACCCUAGGGAUAACAGCGCAAUCCUAUUCUAGAGUUCCUAUCGACAAUAGGGUUUACGACCUCGAUGUUGGAUCAGGACACCCAAAUGGUGCAACCGCUAUUAAAGGUUCGUUUGUUCAACGAUUAAAGUCCUACGUGAUCUG
rnacentral:rRNA from 1 species